rnacentral:rRNA from 1 species
AUACGUAGGGGGCGAGCGUUGUCCGGAAUUACUGGGCGUAAAGGGCGUGUAGGCGGCGGUGUAAGUCUGGAGUGAAAGUCACGCAUUCAAUGUGGGCAUUGCUUUGGAUACUGCAGUGCUAGAGUGCGGAAGUGGUAAGUGGAAUUCCCAGUGUCGGGGUGAACUGCGUAGAGAUUGGGAGGAACACCAGUGGCGAAGGCGACUUACUGGGCCGUAACUGACGCUGAGGCGCGAAAGCGUGGGGAGCGAACAGGAUUAGAUACCCUGGUAGUCCACGCGGUAAACGAUGAAUGCUAGGUGUUGCGGGUAACGACCCCUGCAGUGCCGGAGUAAACACAAUAAGCAUUCCGCCUGGGGAGUACGGCCGCAAGGUUGAAACUCAAAUGAAUUGGCGGGG